CGCAUACAAACAUGUUCUUUAUGCACACGGUCUACGUUAAUAAAUAUCACCUGCACUGAACACCAAAAAAAACUUCCUUUUAAACAACUCUGAGUUUUCCCUAUAAAACUAAUUAAUUGAACUGAGAAAGAGCUUAAUUUAUAUCUUUACAUCUAUAGCACACCUACGCAAUAAGCCACCAAAAGACUUUCGGAAAUAGAUGUUGAAACUGAUACCUUCUUCACGUGAAACGCCGCGGAGACACUCCCCCGAAACCCUCUUGGCUGUUCCAUCGGUAACACUUUCUUGUGAUUAGUUGUCAAGGUGGAAAUUCAACAGCAAGUCAGAGUCUCUGAAUGGAAGAGGAAAGGAGCAGGAGGCUAAGAUCCACUUAGGAGGAGAGUCCCAGGUGAAUCUACGUGGACCACCAACAUAAG
rnacentral:lncRNA from 1 species